rnacentral:rRNA from 1 species
GACGAACGCUGGCGGCGUGCUUAACACAUGCAAGUCGAACGGAAAGGCCCUGCUCUUGUGGGGUGCUCGAGUGGCGAACGGGUGAGUAACACGUGAGUAACCUGCCCUUGACUUUGGGAUAACUUCAGGAAACUGGGGCUAAUAUCGGAUAGGAGCUCCUGCUGCAUGGUGGGGGUUGGAAAGAUUCGGCGGUUGGGGAUGGACUCGCGGCUUAUCAGCUUGUUGGGGGGGUAGUGGCUUACCAAGGCUUUGACGGGUAGCCGGCCUGAGAGGGUGACCGGCCACAUUGGGGCUGAGGUACGGCGCAGACUCGUACGGGAGGCAGCAGUGGGGAAUAUUGCACAAUGAGGGGAAGCCUGAUGCAGCAACGCCGCGUGCGGGAUGCCGGCCUUCGGGUUGUAAACCGCUUUCGCCUGUGACGAAGCGUGAGUGACGGUAAUGGGUAAAGAAGCACCGGCUAACUACGUG